rnacentral:rRNA from 1 species
AUACGGAGGGUGCGAGCGUUAAUCGGAAUUACUGGGCGUGAAGGGUGCGUAGGCGGCUUGAUAAGUCGGAUGUGAAAGCCCCGGGCUUAACCUGGGAAUUGCAUUCGAUACUGUCAGGCUAGAGUAUGUCAGAGGUUGGCGGAAUUCCUGGUGUAGCGGUGAAAUGCGUAGAUAUCAGGAGGAACACCAGUGGCGAAGGCGGCUAACUGGGGCAAUACUGACGCUGAGGCACGAAAGCGUGGGGAGCAAACAGGAUUAGAAACCCUUGUAGUCC